GGGAAUCAAACUGAGGACUUUGCACUUGCCAGGCAGGCGCUUAUGCCACUGAACUAUAUCCCCAGCCCAGGACUGGAAUUCUUAAGAGGUCAUUUAAAACAGAGGAAGAACAAAAUAUUUCUGCACAGUGGAUUUACCCACGUGGAAAGUAACAGCACAAACAUUGUUGGCGUGGAAGCCAGGAGCAAUGGAACAAGCAUUCUGAGGUCCUAUUGCUUCAAAAUUCACCAUGGCUGAAAGAUUACCCCAGUUGGAGAUACUCUUACUUUGGUAGAGCUUACAUAUAUACAAAGACUAAUUGACUGUGUUGUCAGCAUUGGGAAAGGAAUGAAUAAUGCUCAGAUGGCCACUCUGUACCGUGCAUACCGUACUCUGUGACUAUUAAACCCUCAUAACAAGCCAA